rnacentral:rRNA from 1 species
GAUGAACGCUGGCGGCGUGCCUAAUACAUGCAAGUCGAGCGGACAGACGAGGAGCUUGCUCCUCUGACGUUAGCGGCGGACGGGUGAGUAACACGUGGAUAACCUACCUAUAAGACUGGGAUAACUUCGGGAAACCGGAGCUAAUACCGGAUAAUAUAUUGAACCGCAUGGUUCAAUAGUGAAAGACGGUUUUGCUGUCACUUAUAGAUGGAUCCGCGCCGCAUUAGCUAGUUGGUAAGGUAACGGCUUACCAAGGCAACGAUGCGUAGCCGACCUGAGAGGGUGAUCGGCCACACUGGAACUGAGACACGGUCCAGACUCCUACGGGAGGCAGCAGUAGGGAAUCUUCCGCAAUGGGCGAAAGCCUGACGGAGCAACGCCGCGUGAGUGAUGAAGGUCUUCGGAUCGUAAAACUCUGUUAUUAGGGAAGAACAAAUGUGUAAGUAACUAUGCACGUCUGGACGGUACCUAAUCAGAAAACCACGGCUAACUACGU